rnacentral:rRNA from 1 species
UUAUUUUAGCGGCGGACGGGUGAGUAACGUGUGGGUAACCUGCCGUUUACUGGGGAAUAAUCACUGGAAACGGUGACUAAUACCGCAUACGGUUCUUGGAAGGCAUCUUCUAGGAAAGAAAGGAUUUAUUCGGUAAAAGAUGGGCCCGCAUCUGAUUAGCUAGUUGGUGAGAUAACAGCCCACCAAGGCGACGAUCAGUAGCCGACCUGAGAGGGUGACCGGCCACAUUGGGACUGAGACACGGCCCAAACUCCUACGGAAGGCAGCAG